rnacentral:rRNA from 1 species
CGAACGAAGCAAUUAAGAUGAAGUUUCGGAUGGAAUCUUGAUUGACUGAGUGGCGGACGGGUGAGUAACGCGUGGAUAACCUGCCUCACACUGGGGGAUAACAGUUAGAAAUGACUGCUAAUACCGCAUAAGCGCACAGUGCCGCAUGGCAGUGUGUGAAAAACUCCGGUGGUGUGAGAUGGAUCCGCGUCUGAUUAGCCAGUUGGCGGGGUAACGGCCCACCAAAGCGACGAUCAGUAGCCGACCUGAGAGGGUGACCGGCCACAUUGGGACUGAGACACGGCCCAAACUCCUACGGGAGGCAGCAGUGGGGAAUAUUGCACAAUGGGCGAAAGCCUGAUGCAGCGACGCCGCGUGAGUGAAGAAGUAUUUCGGUAUGUAAAGCUCUAUCAGCAGGGAAGAAAAUGACGGUACCUGACUAAGAAGCCCCGGCUAACUACGUGCCAGCAGCCGCGGUAAUACGUAGGGGGCAAGCGUUAUCCGGAUUUACUGGGUGUAAAGGGAGCGUAGACGGCGAAGCAAGUCUGAAGUGAAAACCCAGGGCUCAACCCUGGGACUGCUUUGGAAACUGUUUUGCUAGAGUGUCGGAGAGGUAAGUGGAAUUCCUAGUGUAGCGGUGAAAUGCGUAGAUAUUAGGAGGACACCAGUGGCGAAGGCGGCUUACUGGACG